GUCUACAACCAUACCAUCCUGAACGCACCCCGAUCUUGCCUGAUCUCAGAAGCUAAGCAGCGUCAUGCCUGGUUAGUACUUGGUUGGGAGAAUACUACCUGCCCAGGAUUGAGACC
ensembl:rRNA 5S_rRNA 5S ribosomal RNA